AACGAACGCUGGCGGCAUGCCUAACACAUGCAAGUCGAACGAGACCUUCGGGUCUAGUGGCGCACGGGUGCGUAACGCGUGGGAACCCGCCCUUAGGUUCGGAAUAACUCCCCGAAAGGGGUGCUAAUACCGGAUAAUGUCUUCGGACCAAAGAUUUAUCGCCUUUGGAUGGGCCCGCGUUGGAUUAGCUAGUUGGUAGGGUAAAAGCCUACCAAGGCGACGAUCCAUAGCUGGUCUGAGAGGAUGAUCAGCCACACUGGGACUGAGGCACGGCCCAGACUCCUACGGGAGGCAGCAGUGGGGAAUAUUGGACAAUGGGCGAAAGCCUGAUCCAGCAAUGCCGCGUGAGUGAUGAAGGCCUUAGGGUUGUAAAGCUCUUUUACCCGGGAUGAUAAUGACAGUACCGGGAGAAUAAGCUCCGGCUAACUCCGUG
rnacentral:rRNA from 1 species